UACGUAGGUGGCAAGCGUUGUCCGGAGUUAUUGGGCGUAAAGCGCGCGCAGGCGGUGCGGUAAGUCUCUGGUGAAAGCGCUCGGCUUAACUGGGCGAGGGCCGGGGAGACUGCCACGCUGGAGGGGAGCAGAGGCGAGUGGAAUUCCGGGUGUAGUGGUGAGAUGCGUAGAGAUCCGGAGGAACACCAGUGGCGAAGGCGGCUCGCUGGGCUCUACCUGACGCUGAGGCGCGAAAGCGUGGGGAGCAAACAGG
rnacentral:rRNA from 1 species